AGCCCGCAGAAGUGCGUCGCCAGGGGGCGCCCAGGAAGUGCCGGCUCCGGGCCGCCGCCGGGAUUCCUGGGAAAUGUAGUCUCUGGAGCCCGUGGGGCGGGAGAAGGGCAGGGCCCGAGACCUCACGGGAGUUGUAGUUCUUUACAGGCCUUGAAGUAGCGCAGUCUGAAAGUCUCCAGACUUCAGGAGCUGGGAGAACGAACCCUUUUGUGGGUGAUUAGAGGCAAACUCUCAGGAGAGACUGGGGGCUUAUUUUUGGAGUAAGCAGCAAGGAAAGGGGGUAGCCAGGGCAACUGCCACCUGCUUCACAGUCAGACUUUCAGAAGAGGAAGCCCAGGGGAUAAAGUGGACACCCAGCAAGGACUGAGGAUGGCGUAAGUGGGCAUGGGCCUCAAGGAGACACCAGGAACUGCAGUGAGCAGCAGGUGGAGCUGGAAGGCCAGUGACUGGUAGGGAAGUUCCCUGUGCCCACUGUUGAGGAGGAAUUCUUUCAUGAGGUAGGAGGGACACAGAGGAGGCAGAAAGGGAAGGGGGCUUAGGCUCUAGUGGUCACCUCAUUGCCCAUCUUCACUGGGACCAACAAGGCAACAGCCCCCCGACCCCUUCCUCGCCAGGAUGCUUCAGGGUCCCCGGACCACUAGGUCAGCUUGCCAUUUCCAUAGUAAAGUUCACAGAUGCUAGGAAUAGCAGUUUCAACCUGGUCUCAGAUCACUGCCCUGCAAGUUGGGUCUGUGCAAGACAGGUGUAGAGUACAUGGGGCAAAUCCUUUUGGACUGACACCAGUGGGUACUAAGAGCACUAGGCCAGCAGGAUGGGGUGGGACUGGAAGCACCCUGGGCAGAGGUAUCCUGGGGCUGGAAGAGGCUGACAGUGAGCAGCUAAGGCACACCCAGCACCUUGGGGAGUCUCCCUUUCUCAAAGGACCCAGGUGUUCUGGCCCCAGCUUCUCUUCCUUAGUCUAGGGGGCUGAGGCAUCCAGGAACUCUAUUCUGAAAUGGACCCCUCCCCCAAUCAUUCCAUCAGUGGAUGGACUGGCAGUGGUGGGAGACCUCAAACACUUGCUGCCAUUCUGUCCCUCUGUCAUUUCCUUACUCCCUCAACACUUUUUAUCCUAGAACCUUGCCAAAUGUAUUCUCCAAAUAAGACAGACAUGGGCAGAGGUGCGGGCAGCGUGGAGAUGGAAUUGGGCACUGUGAGAACCACUCCUACUACUAGAGGUCCCCACUGUGGCCCCUCUGCCUCUCUAGCCCUGCUAGGUUCCCCUUCCCUCAUGUAAGCUCCAAAACCCCAUGCCUCUUUCACUUUUAUACAGAGGACCUCAGCAGAUUGGGGGGGGGGGGGGUUUGGCACAAAACUACCAGAUUAAAAAUACCUUGGCAGUAUAUAUACCUGUUAGCUACUUUGGGGGAAGGUCAAAGUAUUUAGGAAAGGCAGGGCUGGGGAAAAGUCCCACAGAGAUAGGUCACCCCAGGUUGUAUAACUGAAGAGGGUAAAUAAAGGGACCCACUCACCCUGCAGCUCCCUCCCCUCUUUCUCCCAAAGGUAUCCUGGAGGCCCUGGAAGAUGCCUGAUGCAAGGUAAUCAGUGAGUGUGAAGUCUGCAAAGGGUAGUCUGCCCACUGCUAAUCAUCUCUCCCACAAAAGAGCCUUGGGGGCUGAAGAGUCUGGGGUCUAAGAAGCUAGCCUUACAACAAGCCUUGCCCAUAAAAAAAUGUCUUUUUUUGCUCCAAUUAGAGAUUAUGAACACUUUAAGAAAGGUUAAAGACCUUAGCCUCACAGUCCACUCGUAUUAAGAGAAAGUAAUUGUACAUUUCAAAACUAGGUCAUGUUGGUUAUGCCAGCAUGACUAUCCUCUAACCCCACAUGAUCUUUCCCCUUCCACCACUAAGCUGCUUCACAACCUUUCUAGAGGUUAAGUAGCCCAGAUCAUACAGGUGGGAUUCAAGUUCAGGUUUUCCUGACAAAACUUCCUUCCCAGCCUGCAGUGACACACAAGCUCCCAAUAGUUCAGGGAGCCAGGUAGCUCCAUGGUAACUGGUUUGGUUGGAGGUGACUAGGUUGGAUCCUCUUUUCCCUUAAACAGCACAAGGCAAAGGGGAAAUCAGUGCCAGAAUCCUGGAUACUGCCUCAGACCAUCAUGCUUGAGCUUCCUAUGGGCCAAAUGGGUUGGUACAUUAUUUUGGGUGGCUCAUCUUCCCACAGAUUAUUCAGAGGGCAAAUUCUUCACCUUCUUCACCACAUUCCCCUCCUCACCCUUAAUUUUAAUACAACUAUGAAGAAAAGAAUUCUCAACUCUACAAGGAAUAUAUGAAACUAUUGUUAUAGUGGCCAUACCAUUUCAAAGAGCCUCACAAAUACAAGAGAAAAUCUUGGUUGGAUUUGAGAAAACCAUUUCUUGUUACAGUGAACCAGAAACAAAACAUUCCACUGAAACUGGAACAGUUGACAGCAAAUGAUUUAACUUAAUUAAACCUUCAAGUAAGAAAAGGGUCAAAGCCAAUGAAUGCAGAAGCCCAAAACUGGUUUGAGAUUAACAUAAAAAUAGCAUUUCAGCAUGGGUAUCCUCUGACCCUUCCCACCAGGUAUCUGCCAUCAUUUCCCUAGCCCUUUUUCCCUUCCGAAACAUCUGCCACACCAAAUGGCUUUUCCCUCUUCUGCAGGUAUAACCCAACCCAAAAAUGCCCCUUUGGACACGAUGCAAAGCCAAGAGGAAAGUUUAUAAAUUUCAUUCCAGGGUAGAAAGUGCACAUACUCAACCCAGCACACUGAUUAUGUGGUGUCAAUGUACAUGGUAAUAACUGUAAUGAAAUCAGAGCUGCUACCAUGUGUAACCUGUUAGGUGGAUCUGUAGCUAUGUCAAUGUUCCUAAUUUACAACACUAAAACAUCAAUGUGGCAGAAUGCACGUUUGAGCUCCAGAUUUUAACACUUUUUAAAAGCUAUUAAAAAUGAUGUAAAACAGAACUGUAUCUCAGAAAUCUAGAUUUUAAGAAGGAACAUUGAUGGGCUCUUUCUGGGACUUUUUCAUGGGGGCACAGAGAUGAACAGAGGAAACGUUAGAAUGUCAAAGCUUAUGACAGGUGAGGGAAGGCAGAGGUGGGAAGAGGGUGUCCUAGCCACAAGGCCAACACAUUCAUAUUGAAAGAGGCGAAGGAAAAAAUUCCCAAACAACAACAAAAUCAAACCAAACCCAAGUCAGAGGAAAAAAGGGUUUCAUACAACACAGUAUCAAAAAGUAAAAGGAACACACUAAAUGCACAAACUGGUGGCAAGUCAGUCCGCCUAUUAUGAUAGGUCCUUCCAGCAUCAGUCAGGUUUCUUCUCAUCUGUUAUCUCAAGGUUAUUUACAGAUGUGUGACUUUAACAAGAGUCUCUCACAGGAGGGAAGGCAGGCUUCAGUCAUUAGUUUCGGGAUCUGUCUGUGCCAUGUAGGCAUCCAACUCAGCAUCCAGGUGUCCUUUUGUUUUUGACAUGUAUGCAUCCAAUUGGUUGUCCAGCUGCUCCUUGGUCAGUACAGGGCGAGCAAGGGCACCUCUCCCUCGUCCACGGCCUCGGCCUCUGCCUCCAAAGCCCCCUCUUCCCCGACCUAUCAUACCCCGACCUGGCCCAAGGGGGAAAAAAAAAAAAAGAAAACAGUUACAAGUAGGUUUAAUGGGUGCUAUGGUAAAUGCCCCUUAGAGCAGUGGGGCCUAGCUGAGAAAGACUGAAGGGCAGGGAAAAGAGGAGAAAUCUGGAAAAACAGGAAACAACACACUGGGUAGAAAGCAACACACGGAAAGCACACAUAAUGAAACCCUUACUACAUGCUCAUCUCUACAUUUUUAUUCUAUCAAAAAAGCAAGGGAAAAAUAUUUAACUGAUAAUUUAAAAUUUCUUAGUCUCUUCUAAAACAGAAAAACUAAAAUCUGAGACUCACUUUAAGUUUACAAUUAAAAUACAAAUAUAGAUAACCCCAUUUAGUAAGACAAGAAGGGCACAGAGAAACAGGAGUAUGAAGCUAGACAGUUUUCAAAUUAAACUUUAUUGGAGAGCCUACUGAAAAAUUAGCUCAUUUCUCCUCAAAUUGAUCAUACUAACAAGUGACCCCAUGUCAGGAGACUGAGGAAUUAUUCUGGCAUAGGAACAAUGAAGGGAGAUGGGGAAAAACAUUUUGAGUAGUCCUAGUCACUUCUACCUACAUUUCUAGUCACCUUAUAACAAUGAUGGUUAUCUGAGAGGUGGUUUCAGUUCAAUUAUCAAAACAUACCCAGCUUUCUGAAAAGCUACUUUAGACCCCCCACCCCCACCCAACCAAGAUGUCUCAGAAACCAAGUCAAGAUAAUUUGGAAACAUGCUAUUUCAUCCUGAAACCCAAACUAGUUUGCGCUUCACUCAAUAAGCCAAGCAACAUAUAAUGCAAGAAAAGAAAACAAGCCCUCAGUUAUCAAAUUUCCUUUCCUAAUAGUUACUAUCCUCUGGCAACUUCAAGGUCAUAAAUUAUGGCAGACCCACCCUACUCUUUAAAGGGACCAAAGCAAAUAUACACAGGAGCUACAAGAAUAGAAUUUUUUCCCCUGGACAGGUGUUGUUGGGAGUUUUCCACUAAGCUCUAAGCCAGAAAACUCCCAUGAGAUUCAGCAUUAACAGCAACACCAUUAAACUCUUUCUCAAUCUGGGUCAUGAGCUCACAAGACAAGUAUCACUAAAUCUUGAGGUAAGAUUAUCAACAAGAGUCAGUUAAUUAACUGACAGGAUACCAUUUUGCUUUCUACCUUGAUUAAAAAAAAGUCAUCUCUGGCUUUGCAUAGACACAAACUUUACUUGAAUUUACUUGGUUUCAGAGUCAGUAACUAGCUCCCAGUCUCAUCAUCUUUAACUCUGCUACGUUUUUUACAUCUCCCUCUUCUCUCUUAGACUAGAAGCAGGGGUCUGAGCUAUGGGGUGGGGUGUGUGGUGAUGGGGCAGGGACAGAAAAAGGUAAAACCCCAAACUGACCAUUUUGUCAUUUGAACAAUACAAUUUAAAUUUACAACAACCUAAAAGACUGAAAUAACCUGGCUCUGUAACAUGUACCUGACUGUCCUAAGAAACCCCAAGACAGACUUUCGCACUACCAGCGUAUGAAUUCAGAAAAUAAGCCAGUUUCAUAAAACAAACAAGACAAACAAAUAAGCCUGCCUAUGACUUGAAGCUGUGCAGAAAGGUGGCUCUGAGUUUUGAAGGGAGAGAAGUAAGGGGGAGCUAUUCUCUGAAGUUGGUAGCUGACUAACCUCUACCACCGAUUCCGCCACGACCCAUAGCUCCACGCCCUAGGCCCCCUCUCCCAGGACCUCCACGACCUCGAACACCACCUCUUCUUAAGCCCAUUCGGGGAGCUACGGCUCGUCCACCUCGGAGCAGGUUUUGACCUUGGAGAGGAGGCAUACAAUGUAUAUGCAGGUAAAUCCAAGAGAGACAAAGUAGAUUCUAACCGAAGGAAGGCGGUGAGGGUUAAAUGAGAGUUAAUUCAGUUAAUAUUUAGGUUGGGUAGGGAAAGCUGCACACUGAGUGUGAACAGAUUAAGCAGCUCUUUAUUCAAUCAAUUCAACAAGCCUGACCACAAAUCCUUUUAUGGAAGCUGGGAGUUAAGUCAGUUAGUAAAUACAUACAUUUAAUAAAUACCUAUUGAAUAAUCACAGAUAGGUGCCUAGCAUUAGUUAGAUUUAAAAACAAAUGAUAUGGUUCCUGCUCUCAAUACAUUUUUGUAGGGGACAAGAACUUAUAUAGGGAACAGAGUAACAGUGCCCAAAAUGUAACAUGUAGCUAAGCGCUAUGGGUCAACUUGUCCUCUUUUUUCCAGAUGUUUCACUAGCACCAGGAACAGAAAUGAUUAGUUAAAGUAUAGGCCAAAAGACCCAUACAUUUCUUAGAUUUGACUUAUUUCUAGAACUUGAAUGUGCUUUGAUUCAGGCAGCAGCAGGGUGUUUUAAAAUGGAAUGGAGAUGACAUGAAUUACCUGUUGUUACGCAGGUCAUAGCCUCUCACCAUUGCACAUUAUCAGAAAAGGAAUGGUAUCGAUAAAAGACAUGCAGCACUAUUAAAAAUAUGUGAUUUCAAAAGUUAUUAAUUAUAUUAAUACAAAUUCAGGCUUAAAGAUGUUAAACAAAUGUGUCCAUAAGCAGCCCAAGAGAAAAGGGAAGGGGGUGAAGCCCGACAAUCAUCAGAUACAUAGCACUGACCUCGGAGCGACAUCCCGCCCCUAAGGAGGGUUCUUGUGGCACGUCCCCCACGUAGUCCUCCUCUGGGCAAGCCUCUCUGGAUUAUGGGCAGGCCUCGUCCACCGAUUGCUCCCCUGGCCAGGGCCCCUAUGGGUCGGCCUAACCGUGCCUGGAUGUUACUCUUACCCAGGCGCUGCUUUAAGCUCUUCUGGAAGAAAAGGUGUUAGGAAUUGAGAUCAAAAAAGCAAUCCAAUGGGAUUUGGCAACUCAAAGUGCAGAAAAAUAGAAGCAAGUGAGAUGUCUGUGUGGAGAGAGGUAAGCCUGCAGUGGGCGUCAUAAGGAUCCCAAACCAGAAGCAAGCCUUUGCCUCAGGACAUGGUAUAAAAGCAGAAUUCUGAUCCAGAGCUUCUAAGAAACUUAGAGUACGGCCCCAUGAAAUUGGCAUCACCACAAAUUACCUCACUAGAGACAUCAUAUAUCACCACUUUGAAUUUAAGUUUUAAUAAGAACUUCCCAUAUUUCACAUCCUGGAUUCUGCUGUUUUUGAACCACCAGUUGACAAUGAUAUGACUUGAUUCAUACCUGCCCAAGGACUACCACUGUCUUCAAAGGCUUACUCAAACACCAUAGAAGUUCAUCACACUCUGGGCAAAAUUUAAAUUACAAGUUCAUUUGAAUUCUUGUGACUUAAGAACAAGUUUGAUUUCUCAGUCAAAGAGGCCAGUGUGUUCCAUUUUUCCUCUGAGUAUCUAUCUCCAGACGGUCCACUUUUUACCUUAAGAUGUAAAUAAACACAAAAAAGUCAAACCUCCUUUCCUUACAUUUCUUAAAUAGCCAUAAUUCCAUGUCUACCUUUGCAAACAACUCCAUUAAGUCAAUAUAAUGACUUUUAAUUAAAAAUAAAAAUGUAACUCAAAUGUAUCUCCAUAAAGCCAGCCAAUCUUGCAUGAGAAUUAAGAAAGUUGAGCUAUCUUCAUAAAACUCAGGGCCACAUUUGAGGACAAGGACAUACCAGAAAUAGGAGAUUUUUCAAUAAUCUGUCCCUCAAAGAGAAACUACGAAGAUCAGUAUCUCAAUUAAAUUCCUUCAGAGGGUGACUGUGUAGCCUUGAACACAACCAAAGCCCUAGCAAAGCUGUUCUCCUAUAAAGCAGUAAGUCAAUAUGAAUGAAAAUAAAUUAGGAGCCCUCAGGAUUCACCUACAAAUGACUACCAAUGAUUUUCUUUGCAACCAUAUGCUGUGAGUUGUUAUUAGCUUUCUAGUAUAUUUCAUAAACUGCUUAUCACCAGAGGGGCAUGCUCUCAACAAAAGCACACAAUUAUGAGGUCAGGACUUCAUUCCGUAAGUCCCUUAUGUUUAGUCAUCCCUAGUAUAUCCUCCCAAGACGUGUGCUUUAAGAGAAGGUUCCGCACUUAGUUCUUCUCCCUUCCCAAUCCUUAUUUGCCACCAAUACUGGUCUCUAACAUUGAGAAGAAGCUUGCGGACAUCAACUGUACCAUCCAGUUUCCAUUCCUACUAGAGCUGUGCUGUACGCUGAGACAACCACCAGCCACAUGUGGCUGAGUGCUCAAUAGUCAGUGUGUCUAGUGGCUA